UGCCCUCGCGCACGCCGCCGCCUCCCGCUCUCCCCAUUUCCCACUCUCUCUUUGCCUGGCCGCUCAUCCCCAAUCCGCGCGGGGAGGGCGCAAUGCGGCCAUGCACCCCGCCCUAAAGCGGGAGGUGCAAGGACGGCGGCCAAUGCCAUCCACGCCGCCGCUCCUCCCCCAUUCGCUAUUGGCCUCACCGCUUGGAUCCCCCGUCGGCUGCUGCUCCUUCCCCUCCCGUGCCGCCGUCGCCGUCGCCUUCGCCCCCGUCCUAUCUGCGCCCGACGGCCGGCAAGACUGGGACGCGGACUCCGCCGAGCAUUGAGGAUGCGGGCCGGUGCUCAAGCCGCCGCCACUGCCGCCAUUCUCGCGUACCUCGUCCCCGAGGUAAUCUCCCGAUCUCCUUUCUCCUACAGUCCUCCCACUCCUCCCUGGCUGGCACAAGCAGAAAACUUCGACGGCCCGACUCGUGGCCGCGGGGUCCUCGCUCGGGCUCCUGUGGCCCCGCUCAUACAUUCUCUACAAGGUGUCGGCGCCCUAGGACGGGGGCGUCGUGCGUGUCGGCUGCUCCAACGGCUUCCCUGUUGCGUGGCGCCUCCGCGUCUUCCUCUUCUACAAGGCGGUGACGCCCCUCCACUUCACACCCUCCAAGGUGGCCCCGCUCUGCCGCCGACCUGGAGGUCUGCAAGACUGCCGACCUCACCGCCUGUCGUUCAACUUCUGCUAUCGUGCUACAAUGAUGGAGGGACAUCGAGCAGGUUACCGCAAGCACCGCAAGUGCCAGGUCUUGACUAAUUUGUUCCAUCUACAGUACAGUUAAGAUGCUAUUUAGCAGACACACAAUGACUUUUAUUCAGUCAGUCGUAUGAAUCUUCCUUUACUCUUAGUGCUGGUGAUUUCGGAUCUAUACUUUGGUUGCCUGAUUAUUGCUUUGCAGGAUAAAUUACUUUGCAUGUCUAAAUCGACUGUGAUGUUUAUCUCACUAUUUUGGUUGGCUGAUUAUUGCCUCUGCCGCUUGAUUGCGCUUACUUGCAGGAGCCAAAUGUGACAUAUGUGAAAUAGCAAGUAAUUUAUUCUCCUUUCUUGAUCAAAUUGGUUUAGUUAUUUUCAAGAUGAUCUGAACAUAUUAUAUAUGCUUUGUUUCUCAAGGUAACUCGGGCUUCUGCUGGUUGUGGCAAUAAGUCUAUGUAGAUCAAACUAUCAAUAACUAAAUAUAUGUCAUCAUUCUGAAUUCUGAAUGUUUAUCAAAUUUGCUACACUAUCAGGACCUCAUACUAUUUGCUGCCUCUGUGAACAAGCUGUUAGAGUAUUCCGUAUUCUUGUAACUUCAAGUUUGUGAAAUUGCAGCCAUGUCACUCUGUUCUUGCAUAUCAUUUUCCCUUUUAGAAUUUUCCUAAUGCUAUUUUUUUAAACUCACAUCCUCUCAAUUAUAAUGAACCUAUAUUUUUCUAUGGCUGCAAGAAAACCAAUAAUUUAAUUUAUGCAUCUUUUAUGCUUAUAAUUUAUUUUUCUAGGGCUGCAAAAAAAAAUUAAUCAUUCAAUGUAUGCAUCUGUUAUGCUUAUAAUAUCUUUUUCUACAUUGGUGAAUGACAACAGGGAAGCCUUGGUCAACGUGGCGGCGUCCCCGAUCUGUGGCCUAGGUUGGACGUUCUAAUCAGAGAAGUGGCAGCUGCCACCGGUGCAUCAAAGCUCCAUCUCCACGACAUGAAGGCAAGGUGUACAAGCAAUGCCAUAACCGGCCAACACAAUUUAAGGUUGCCGCUGAGAAGUGGUUCAAGCCUCGCCCAGUGUGCGCCGCCACUAGGACCAGGAUAUAGCUGCUGGUGUGGCCAUUCAGAGAGCAUCCGCUGCUGUAUUGUUUAUCCAAUGCAGAUGGAACCAAUAUGUAGGAGUGACCAUGGUAGUGAUUAGCAAGAGGCUGGUGGACUCGUUCCUGAUAGAUGCAACAUUGGAGGUUGGGCUCUGUAGUCUGUGGAGUACAAGGAGCUCAAGCAUCAUCUGCUGUUGAGGACAAGGAGCUCAAGCAUGAUUUGCAUGUGCGGCUGAUGACUUCUUGCAUUGUCUGAAUGCCCGUGCGUUGCUACGAGAGCUAAAAAUUCAAAUACAACUAGUCUUUUUAAAAAAGAUAUUCAGCAGUA